rnacentral:rRNA from 1 species
AGUGAACGCUGGCGGUAGGCCUAACACAUGCAAGUCGAACGGCAGCACAGUAAGAGCUUGCUCUUACGGGUGGCGAGUGGCGGACGGGUGAGGAAUACAUCGGAAUCUACUUUUUCGUGGGGGAUAACGUAGGGAAACUUACGCUAAUACCGCAUACGACCUACGGGUGAAGGCAGGGGAUCUUCGGACCUUGCGCGAUUGAAUGAGCCGAUGUCGGAUUAGCUAGUUGGCGGGGUAAAGGCCCACCAAGGCGACGAUCCGUAGCUGGUCUGAGAGGAUGAUCAGCCACACUGGAACUGAGACACGGUCCAGACUCCUACGGGAGGCAGCAGUGGGGAAUAUUGGGCAAUGGGCGCAAGCCUGAUCCAGCCAUACCGCGUGGGUGAAGAAGGCCUUCGGGUUGUAAAGCCCUUUUGUUGGGAAAGAAAAGCAGCAGGUUAAUACCCCGCUGUUCUGACGGUACCCAAAGAAUAAGCACCGGCUAACUUCGUG